rnacentral:misc_RNA from 1 species
UCUUUUUUGUUUGUGUUAAACUUGACAGUUAUAAGGACGAGGGACAUUAUAUUUGAAAAUGAAAUGCAGUGGGGUUUAAUGGCUGCUGAAACGUUUCGACGGAUGGUCUCGAUUUUGAAUCUGUGAGGUUUUUACUUGAAUGAGACUGGCAGACUCGCCGAUCGCUCUCAACGGCGAGCUCCGGUCCGCCUCGUGAAUCGGCGGUAUUGACGUCUUGCGAGUAGGAUUUAAUCCCGUCCACUACGAGACAAGUCAUUUGGAAAAAUGGAGGAGGACAUUGAGUAUACGAAAUUGCCUUUAGAGGAGCGCUGUGUGCACAAGUCAUGGAAGGCACGAUUACACGGUUAUGAGGAAUGCACAAAAACGUUUCGUCGCAUAGAUGAUGAAAAAUCACCAGAGUGGAAUAAAUUCAUUGGACUAGUAAAAAAGUUUGUCGUUGAUAGCAAUGCGGUUGCCCAAGAGAAAGGUUUGGAAGCAACGCUAGCAUUUGUUGAAAAUGCCGCGGCAGCUUCAAAAACUGUCAGUGACGUAAUGAGCGGUAUUGUCACUAAAUGUAUCGCUGCACCCAAAGCAAAGACAAAGGAUUUAGCUGUACAGAUAACACUCAUGUAUAUAGAAAUAGAAAAGCAAGAUGCAGUACAAGAGGAAUUGUUGAAAGGCACCGAGGCAAAAAAUCCAAAGAUUGUCUCCGCUUGCAUCUCUGCACUGACUUUGUCCCUCAGAGAGUUCGGUCCCAAAGUUAUUAACAUUAAGCCACUGAUUAAGAAAAUGCCAAGUUUCUUGGAGGACAGAGAUAAAACUGUUAGAGACGAAGGGAAAGCCAUGGUCAUUGAAAUAUACAGAUGGAUUGGAGCACCUUUGAAACAACAACUUAGUACCUUAAAGCAAGUACAAUUAACAGAAUUGGAAACUGAGUUUGCACAGAUAGAAAAAAGCACGGUUGCUCCAACUCGCUACUUAAAGUCCCAGAAAUCAAAGAUUAGGGCCGUUGCAGAGUCAGGUGCUAGUGCUACCCACGAAGGUGGCGAAGAGGAAGAUGACGAUGCUUCCGCCUCGGAAAUAGAUCCUUACGAACUAUUGGAACCUGUCGAUAUUCUUUCCAAACUUCCAAAGGAUUUCUUUGAGAGCGUUGAGGCAAAAAAAUGGCAGGAACGAAAAGAGGCAUUAGAGGCUUUGGAAACUUUAGUCAAGAACCCAAAACUAGAAAACGGCGACUACGGUGAUGUAGUGCGAGCUUUGAAAAAGAUGAUCGCAAAAGACUCAAAUGUGUUAGUAGUUGCCUUAGCAGGGAAGUGUUUAGCUGGUCUAGCAUCAGGACUGAAAAAGCGAUUCCAACCAUAUGCUUUAGCAUGUCUACCUGUGAUUUUAGAGAAGUUUCGUGAGAAAAAACAAAAUGUUGUACUAGCCCUUCGCGAGUGCUGUGAUGCUAUAUUCCAAAGUAUUGCUAUCGACGUUAUGCUGGAGGACGUGGUAGCUGCAUUGGAGAAUAAAAAUCCCGCAGUGAAAGCUGAGACCGCUGCUUUCAUGGCACGUUGCUUCGCCCGAACAUUACCUUCGACUUUGAAUAAAAAAUUAUUGAAAGCAUAUACCGGGGCACUGCUAAAAACUUUGAACGAACCAGACCCAACUGUUCGAGACAAUUCUGCGGAAGCCCUUGGGACAGCCUUGAAGUUAGUCGGUGAAAAGGCAAUAUCACCAUUUCUUACCGACUUAGACAAUUUAAAGAUGGCAAAGAUCAAAGAGUGUGCGGAUCAAGCCGUGAUUCAGGUGAAGAUGCCAGUGGUUAGAAAGGCGCCGAGUGAGAGACCAAACACGGCGCCGGCAAAAAUAGAGUCACCUGUAAAGUCCAAGGAAUCUGAAAAUCAAGGAGCACCCAAAGCAGGCAAGAGGCCAAAUACCACGGCGACUAAAAAGGGUCUCUCCAAGAAAUCCACAAAUUCUUCGCUCACGAAUCUAGGUGGAACCAAGAAAUCUAACGCAACAAAGGUUCAAGUCGAGAGAAAUCUUAGUAGUGAAGAGGUGGAUGAAUUAGCUGCGCAAACAUUACCCAGCGAUGUGAUCUCUGGACUUGUCGAUAGCAACUGGAAAACACGUUUGGCUGCUGUCGAACAACUGUCAGAAGCAGUGAAACUCAUGGAUCCAGCGGAAGUGUCUACGCAGGUCAUUGUCAGGACCCUGGCCAAAAAACCUGGGUUCAAGGACACGAAUUUCCAGGUUCUCAAGCUUCGACUGGAAAUUGUCAAAAUGCUCGCAGAGAAUUAUCCUUUCUCCAGCACCGUGUCGGAGUAUUGUAUCAUGGAUAUCACGGAGAAACUUGGCGACGGGAAAAAUAGUGCCGUGGCGAGCGACACGCUCAUGGCUAUUGCCGAGGCGACGAGUUUCGAGCUCGUGGCAAACGAAACCAUAGCAUUCGCUUUCAAUCAGAAGAACCCGAAGGUUCAACAGGAGACUCUCUUGUGGCUAUCCAAAGCCUUGCUCGAAUUCGGUUACACAAUCAACGCGAAGUCGAUAAUGGAAAAUAUCAAGAAAGCAGUGGGCGCGACGAAUCCUAGCGUGCGCACAGCAGCGAUUACGUUAGUAGGAACUCUGUACAUGUACAUGGGCAAGCCCCUCCUCAUGUUCUUCGAGAACGAAAAGCCGGCCUUGAAGCAGCAAAUUGAACAGGAGUGCGAAAAGAAGAGGGAAACGCCGCCGGCACCCGUGCGUGGACUUAAAAGUAAAAAGGGCAGGGUGGAGGAAGACGAGGACGGAGAACCCGACGAGAAAGUUGGCGGAAGUCAGUCGAACAUUUCCGAUCUCUUCCCCCGGGUCGACAUCAGCAAUCAAAUCACCGAAAGCUUGCUCGCCGAGUUGUCUGACAAGAACUGGAAGGUUCGUAACGAAGGUCUACAAAAGAUAGCCGGGAUUCUCAACGAGGCGAAAUUCAUAAAAGGAUCUAUCGGGGAUCUGCCGCAAGGAUUGGCAUUGCGACUGGUCGACAGCAACAGCAAGAUCGCCCAAUCCACUUUGGGUCUCUGUCAGGCUUUGGCCACCGCCAUGGGCCCCUCUGCCAAAACUCAUAUUCGCACCCUCUUCCCUGGUUUCGUUCAAUGCCUGGGAGAUUCCAAGAACUGGAUCCGCACCGCCGCUAUUUCCUGUAUCAACACCUGGGGCGACCAGUGCGGCUACAAAGAAUUCUUCGACGGCGAGAUUAUCGGCGAUGCCCUGAAGACUGGUUCACCGACUCUCAGAGCAGAGCUGUGGAUCUGGCUUGCCCAGAAAUUACCCGGAAUACCGGUCAAGCAAAUACCGAAGGACGAGCUUACCGCGUGCAUUUCCCAUUUGUACAGCAACUUGGAAGACCGCAACUCCGAUGUGAGGAAAAACGCCCAGGAGGCAGUUUUGGGAUUCAUGAUCCAUCUGUCCUACGAAGCCAUGAGCAGGAGUACGGAGAAAUUAAAGCCAGGGUCUAGAACCGCGGUAUUGGCAGCCCUGGACAAGGCAAGGCCCAAUCUACCGAUUAAACCUCUGCCCUCGAAGAAGCAAGCAUCCGAUGACGGCUCGCAGCAGAAAACCGUAAAGAGCGGAGGCGCCGUGAAGGCGAAUAAAGCCGCGGUCAAGACAAAGGGCGCGUCCUCGUCGAAGCCCAGCAGUGCCCGCAAGAAGGACGAAGACGUCGACACGAGCCCGCUGCUGGCGACGAACAAUCUGAAGCACCAGAGAGUAAUCGACGAGCAGAAGUUAAAGGUCUUGAAGUGGAACUUCACUACACCUAGGGAAGAAUUCGUGGACUUGCUGAAGGAACUGAUGUCGGCCGCUAACGUGAACAAGACGUUGAUGGCGAACAUGUUCCACUCGGACUUCCGGUACCACCUCAAGGCGAUCGAAGCUCUGACGGAGGAUCUGCCCGGCAACAGUAAGGCCCUCGUCUCAAAUCUUGACCUCAUAUUGAAGUGGUUGACGCUUCGAUUCUUCGAUACGAAUCCAUCGGUAUUGCUGAAAGGCUUGGACUACUUGCAAACCGUUUUCAAUCUGCUGAUCGAGGAUCAGUAUCACAUGCUGGAGAACGAAGCUGCCUCGUUCAUUCCUUAUCUAAUUAUUAAGAUCGGGGAUCCCAAAGACGCCGUUCGGAACGGUGUUCGAGCCCUCUUCAAGCAGAUCGCUUUAGUAUAUCCUGUUAGCAAGCUGUUCUCCUACGUCAUGGAGGGCUUGAAGUCUAAAAAUGCUAGACAGAGAACCGAGUGUCUUGAUCAGCUCGGGUCUCUGAUCGAGAAUUAUGGAGUUCCCGUUUGCCAGCCGUCUCCCUCGUCUGCUUUGAAAGAAGUUGCUAAACAAAUAGCUGACAGGGAUAAUUCCGUGCGAAAUGCAGCGCUCAAUUGCAUCGUCCAAGCCUACUUCCUCGAGGGUGAACGAGUCUAUAAACUGAUUGGGCAGAUAUCUGAGAAAGAUCAGUCAUUGCUGGACGAGAGAAUUAAAAGAGCUGCAAAGAAUCGCCCAGUAAAGUCAGCUUCAUCGGCGAGGAUAGUGGUGCCACCAAUUUCUACAAAUGCCCCUGCGACAGAGGAAAUGGAGGAUGACUACGAAGAAGAGGAGGAGAACGAAGCUCCGGAGCAGGAAGUCGAUGUACUCAACGAUGGGGACGAUAGUAAAGAUAAUCAACCCGAGAAGGCCGAAGAUAUGACUCUUGUCAAUAAGGAAAACAAUGAGGAAUCGCAAUCGCCGACUGCGACAAAAAAUGAGGGAAACAAGGACGAACGGGUUGAAGCUUCGGCAGAAUCGGAAUCUCAAUCUGAACAAGUCACUCGCGAAGCGGAAAAUAAGACAAAUCCCACGCCGAUGCAAACGAAAGUAUCAGGACCCUUUGGCCUCGACAUGGAUCUGCUGCAGAGGAUCGAGCUCAGUGCUCCUGUCAAGUAUCGGUACCCUAAGCUACUGACUCCAGAUUUCUCCGAACCAGUAAAUUUAGCUCCUCCGCCAACUCAAACAAUUUUGAUGUCACCGCCGAAGCUCUUAAUUCCUAAAUCUUCGUCUGUAUCUCCCCUGGGACAAUCGGCUACUAAAGAGGAGAGUCUGGAGCGCAAUAUUCUUGCAAUAGCCAGCCCGGAUUUGCCGACUGCCAUUCAGGCUAUGAAUAGCAUAGAUAACUUAUUGAAGUCGCAUCAGUUCAGUAUGCUGCAGUCGAGGGAGGACAAGUUCAUCACUUCUUUGAACCUGCAACUCAAGCUUCUUCAGACGUAUCCUCUCCACCAGGGAAGCGUCGACGUGUCCAAGGGCUUCCGAAAUGCCUUCAUGGUGAUACUUUCGUUCUACGAAUCCGGGGUCUUGGGGAAGAACGUACCGGCGGUGCACCUGAAGGAGCUCAUUGAUCAGAUGAUCUGUUUGUUGGCCGAGAAUAAGCUGGACCGGCUGAACGAAGCGGAAGCUUACAACAGGGUCAUCAACAACAUCGUCAUGAAAUUGAUAGAUCAUUCUAAUCACACGACCAUCAUAUGCGUGCUAAUCCAAUUGUUACACGGCUGUGCGGAAUCGAAUGCUCCUUCCAAGUACGAAGACCUGGUGAUGAAGUGCUUGUGGAAGAUAGUAAAGACUAUUCCAAAUUGGGCCGCCGACUUGGAAUACGAUAACAUACUCCUGGAGGUGCACCACUUCUUCAAGGAUUACCCUUCGUCUUGGUGGAAGAAACGAAAGCCUGACACAGCCUUGCGUACGGUUAAAACCGUGCUUCACAGUAUGACCAAGGUUAAGGGCAGCACGAUUUUAAGUCACUUGACGUUGAUAAGUAACACGAACGAAUCCGAACUACAUUCCUACCUGAUGAGACUUAUCGCGACCUUCAAGCCCGACGAGGUUAACGCAAUGUCGAGGCCUUCUUCUAAGGCGAGCAACCCAAGCCGGACCCAGAAACAUCUUUCGAAGUUGACUCAUCAACAAUUGUCGGAGAUAUUCAAAAAAAUUGGAUCCAAGCACCACACGCAAGAGGGCUUGGUACAGCUUUACGACUUCAAGCAGCAGAAUCCUGAAGCAGACGUUCAACCCUUCCUGAUGUCAUCUCAUCAGCUUUUCCAAGACUUCAUCGAGCAGGGACUCCGAGAUAUCGACCAAGCGAGGAAGAAUCAAGGACUCAUAUCCCAGGCCAAUAAUCAAACCUUCCGAACCUCCCGCCCCGGUUGCAGAGGAGAAAAGACUAAUGGAUCCCAUGCUCAGGCUGGAGAAAUUGAGAGCGCUCGAGGCCCAGUGUAGAACCACUGCACCGAGCCAUUCCAAUCCGACAUGAGUCCAAGAUGAACGCACUUUCGUACUACUUUAGGUUUCGAUUAUUCAAAGAUAACGCGUAGUCGAGGAACAUCCUAUUUAUGGCGUCGCAUCGGAAAGCGUACAAGUAAUUCAGCAUGCAUCGUAUCGUACUUACGGAUCGGUCAGGGGGAGGCCUAGGUAAAUGGUAACGAUUGCGACAUGUCUCGUUGGGGUUUUGUUGUCUUUUUCUUUCUUUCAAUCAGGCUAAGGUCUUUUCGUUAACGCGAGUAGAGGAGGAACGCUCCCUUCGCAGGAUCACCAGUGCAUGAAACAUAAAGGCACGUAUUAAUAAUCAGUGCAUGAGCAGAACAGUUUAUAAUAAUGUACGUAAUUGCUAUAUACCUUCGACGUCCAGUGCGAGAUUAACAGUAGCUCGACUUCACCUCGUGGUUACAUGUAUAGUUGAUACUAUUAUUAAUAAUAUUAUGUAACGUUCAUGUGUUAUGCCAGCCGUAUUUAUGAAGUAUAGGAGCAGAGAAGGAUAUUAAAUUCUGUAAUAACAGACGGAGUCCACGUUGGUUUCAGACUGAGUUAUUUGUAGCUGAUUUUAUAUCGUUAUUUUUUUAUAAUAAACACUUCGUCUUUUUUAA